rnacentral:rRNA from 1 species
UACAGAGGUCUCAAGCGUUGUUCGGAUUCAUUGGGCGUAAAGGGCGCGUAGGCUGCGGGGCAAGUCGGGUGUGAAAUCUCAGAGCUCAACUCUGAAACUGCACUCGAUACUGCUUUGCUUGAGGACUGGAGAGGAGAUUGGAAUUCACGGUGUAGCAGUGAAAUGCGUAGAUAUCAAGUGGAACACCAGUGGCGAAGGCGAGUCUCUGGACAUUUCCUGACGCUGAGGCACGAAAGCCAGGGGAGCAAACGGG